GUGCUCCGAUGCUCUAGAUUACGCGAAGACCUUACCAACACUUGACAUGUUCGUCGCAACUCUAAGAGAUUAGAGUUUUCGGUUCGGCCGGACGAAACACAGGUGCUGCAUGGCUGUCGUCAGCUCGUGUCGUGAGAUGUUGGGUUAAGUCCCGCAACGAGCGCAACCCUCACUUUUAGUUGCCAUCAUUAAGUUGGGCACUCUGAAAGAACUGCCAGUGAUAAGCUGGAGGAAGGUGGGGAUGACGUCAAGUCCUCAUGGCCCUUACGUGUUGGGCUACACACGUGCUACAAUGGUGGUGACAAUGGGCAGCGACCUCGCGAGGGGUAGCCAAUCCUAAAAAGCCAUCUCAGUUCGGAUUGCACUCUGCAACUCGGGUGCAUGAAGUUGGAAUCGCUAGUAAUCGUGGAUCAGCAUGCCACGGUGAAUACGUUCCCGGGUCUUGUA
rnacentral:rRNA from 1 species